AUGAAGGGACUGGCGGACGAACUCGCUGUUGCAGGAAAGCCCCUGGACAAGGACGACGUCGUCUCGCACAUCCUCGAGGGACUCAUGCACGAGCCCAACUACAACGGGUUUGUCACCUCCAUCUCCACGCGCGCUGCCACCGAUCGGCCGAUCGGUCUCAGCGAACUUUUUUCGCUCCUGUUGUCUACGGAGGCCCGGAUCGCUGCCCAGCACGCUGCCUACACCGCUCAUCACUCCGCCAACCUAGCUGCAAAGGGUGGUCGGGGCGGUUAUGGC
rnacentral:rRNA from 1 species